CCUACGGGAGGCAGCAGUGGGGAAUAUUGGUCAAUGGGCGCAAGCCUGACCCAGCAACGCCGCGUGAAGGAAGAAGGCUUUCCGGUUGUAAACUUCUUUUGUCAGGGAAGAGUAGAAGACGGUGCCUGACGAAUAAGCCACGGCUAACUACGUGCCAGCCGCCGCCGUAAUACGUAGGUGGCAAGCGUUGUCCGGAUUUACUGGGUGUAAAGGGCGUGUAGCCGGGUUGACAAGUCAGAUGUGAAAGCAUGCGGCUUAACCGCAGAACUGCAUUUGAAACUGUUGUUCUUGAGUACUGGAGAGGUAGGCGGAAUUCGUAGUGUAGCGGUGAAAUGCGUAGAUAUUAGGAGGAACACCAGUGGCGAAGGCGGUCUGCUGGACAGCAACUGACGGUGAGGCGCGAAAGCGUGGGGAGCAAACAGGAUUAGAUACCCGAGUAGUC
rnacentral:rRNA from 1 species